CUUUAAUUCGAAUUAAAGAUGGAGCUCCUUUCGGCUUCUGAUGCGCUAUAAUCAUAAUCUGCAUACGCCUAACAUAAGCUGCACAAAACGUAACUGAAGGCCAUUUUGUAUUGGGGAGACGUUGUUGCACAUACAAAAGUGUAAGACAGAAAAGCCCAAGUAACUUAGGUUUGUUCAACAAGUAUAUUUGUCUGCAGCGUAUUGGUUGUUGCUUUGGGCUUAUAAAGCAAACUGAACCAGGGUUGGAGACCAUUGGACUAAAGAAAGUGAUGCAAUAUUUGCAAAAUGCCCCAUACAGAUGAAGAGAUAAUAUGAUUGUCAGGUAUCUUAAUCAAGCUGUAAAUCUGUAGCUUUACUGUUAUGUUUUGGUUCUUGGUUCAGUGAAGGCCGUCUGUGUAGUCUUCUUAUCAACAGCAACACGCAUUCAAGUUUAAGUUUCCCAACUCAGUUCUUAAGUUCAGUUUUGUGUACAUUAAACCUUUCAUUUUCCAAUCAGUUGUCUAAAUUUACCUUUAGUCUUUUAAUGUAAUAUUUGUAUAGCUUUAUU